GACGAACGCUGGCGGCGUGCCUAAUACAUGCAAGUUGAGCGCUGAAGGUUGGUACUUGUACCAACUGGAUGAGCAGCGAACGGGUGAGUAACGCGUGGGGAAUCUGCCUUUGAGCGGGGGACAACAUUUGGAAACGAAUGCUAAUACCGCAUAAAAACUUUAAACACAAGUUUUAAGUUUGAAAGAUGCAAUUGCAUCACUCAAAGAUGAUCCCGCGUUGUAUUAGCUAGUUGGUGAGGUAAAGGCUCACCAAGGCGAUGAUACAUAGCCGACCUGAGAGGAGGGUCGGCCACCUUGGGACUGAGACACGGCCCAAACUCCUACGGGAGGCAGCAGUAGGGAAUCUUCGGCAAUGGGCGAAAGUCUGACCGAGCAACGCCGCGUGAGUGAAGAAGGUUUUCGGAUCGUAAAACUCUGUUGGUAGGGAAGAACGUUGGUGAGAGUGGAAAGCUCAUCAAGUGACGGUAACUACCCAGAAAGGGACGGCUAACUACGUA
rnacentral:rRNA from 1 species